rnacentral:snoRNA from 1 species
GACCGCUUGGUGCUUACCAAAGGCUAUGGUCUUGCACUGACUGUAUAAAAAGAGGAGGCAGAGUAAACCUAUCCCAUAUACACCUCAGUUCAGGCCUUGUGCCUGGUAUGUAUUGCAAACGAAGUGACAUGG